UGCCAGCAGCCGCGGUAAUACGGAGGGCGCAAGCGUUAUUCGGAAUUAUUGGGCGUAAAGGGCGCGCAGGCGGUCUUGUCCGUCAGGUGUGAAAGCUCGGGGCUCAACCCCGGAAGUGCACUUGAAACAGCAAGACUUGAAUACGGUAGAGGAGAGAGGAAUUCCUGGUGUAGAGGUGAAAUUCGUAGAUAUCAGGAGGAACACCGAUGGCGAAGGCAGCGCUCUGGGCCAAUACUGACGCUGAGGAGCGAAAGCAUGGGGAGCAAACAGGAUUAGAUA
rnacentral:rRNA from 1 species